AGAGUUUGAUCCCGGCUCAGAAUCAACGCUGGCGGCGCGCCUAACACAUGCAAGUCGAACGAGAAAGUGGAGCAAUCCAUGAGUACAUUGGCGUACGGGUGAGUAACACGUGGGUAAUCUACCUCUUAGUGUGGAAUAACCCUGGGAAACCGGGGCUAAUACCGCAUAAGCUCGAGAGAGGAAAGCAGCAAUGCGCUGAGAGAGGAGCCCGCGGCCGAUUAGCUAGUUGGCAGGGUAAAAGCCUACCAAGGCAGAGAUCGGUAGCCGGCCUGAGAGGGCACACGGCCACACUGGCACUGAAACACGGGCCAGACUCCUACGGGAGGCAGCAGUGGGGAAUCUUGCACAAUGGGGGAAACCCUGAUGCAGCGACGCCGCGUGAGCGAUGAAGCCCUUCGGGGUGUAAAGCUCUUUCGGCAGGGAAGAUUAUGACGGUACCUGCAGAAGCAGCUGCGGCUAACUACGUGCCAGCAGCCGCGGUAAUACGUAGGCAGCAAGCGUUGUUCGGAGUUACUGGGCGUAAAGGGUGUGUAGGCGGUUGUCUAAGUUUGGUGUGAAAUCUCCCGGCUCAACUGGGAGGGUGCGCCGAAUACUGAAUGACUAGAGUGCGGGAGAGGAAAGUGGAAUUCCUGGUGUAGCGGUGAAAUGCGUAGAUAUCAGGAGGAACACCGGUGGUGUAGACGGCUUUCUGGGCCGUAACUGACGCUGAGACACGAAAGCGUGGGUAGCAAACAGGAUUAGAUACCCUGGUAGUCCACGCCCUAAACGAUGCAUAUUUGGUGUGGGCAGUACAUUCUGUCCGUGCCGGAGCUAACGCGUUAAAUAUGCCGCCUGGGGAGUACAGUCGCAAGGCUGAAACUCAAAGGAAUUGACGGGGGCCCGCACAAGCGGUGGAGCAUGUGGUUCAAUUCGACCACGCGAAGAACCUUACCUGGGCUCGAACGGCUUCUCAACGCCGGUAGAAAUACCGGUACCCCGCAAGGGGGUGGAGUCGAGGUGCUGCAUGGCUGUCGUCAGCUCGUGUCGUGAGAUGUUGGGUUAAGUCCCGCAACGAGCGCAACCCUUGUCCUUAUGUCCAGGGCUACACACGUGCUACAAUGGACGGUACAGAGCGCCGCAAACCCGCGAGGGGGAGCCAAUCGCAAAAAACCGUUCUCAGUUCGGAUUGCAGGCUGCAACUCGCCUGCAUGAAGCUGGAAUCGCUAGUAAUGGCAGAUCAGCACGCUGCCGUGAAUACGUUCCCGGGCCUUGUACACACCGCCCGUCACAUCACGAAAGUGGAUUGUACUAGAAGUCUGCAGGCUGACCCGCAAGGGGGGCAGCGGCCCAAGGUAUGAUCCAUGAUUGGGGUGAAGUCGGAACAAGGUAGCCGUAGAGAACCUGCGGCUG
rnacentral:rRNA from 1 species